rnacentral:rRNA from 1 species
UACGGGGGGGGCAAGCGUUGUUCGGAAUUACUGGGCGUAAAGGGCUCGUAGGCGGCCCACUAAGUCCGACGUGAAAUCCCCAGGCUUAACUUGGGAACUGCGUCGGAUACUGGUGGGCUUGAAUCCGGGAGAGGGAUGCGGAAUUCCAGGUGUAGCGGUGAAAUGCGUAGAUAUCUGGAGGAACACCGGGGGCGAAGGCGGCAUCCUGGGCCGGUAUUGGCGCUGAGUGAGCGAAAGCCAGGGGAGCAAACGGG